rnacentral:rRNA from 1 species
UACGUAGGUGGCAAGCGUUGUCCGGAUUUAUUGGGUUUAAAGGGUGCGUAGGCGGCCCCGUAAGUCAGUGCUGAAAUAUCCCGGCUUAACCGGGAGGGUGGCAUUGAUACUGCAGGGCUUGAGUAAAGUUGAGGUAGGCGGAAUUGACGGUGUAGCGGUGAAAUGCUUAGAUAUUGUCAAGAACACCGAUAGUGUAGACAGCUUACUAAGCUUUAACUGACGCUGAGGCACGAAAGUGUGGGGAUCAAACAGG